GACGAACGCUGGCGGCGUGCUUAACACAUGCAAGUCGAACGGAAAGGCCCUGCUUUUGUGGGGUGCUCGAGUGGCGAACGGGUGAGUAACACGUGAGUAACCUGCCCUUGACUUUGGGAUAACUUCAGGAAACUGGGGCUAAUACCGGAUAGGAGCUCCUGCUGCAUGGUGGGGGUUGGAAAGUUUCGGCGGUUGGGGAUGGACUCGCGGCUUAUCAGCUUGUUGGUGGGGUAGUGGCUUACCAAGGCUUUGAAGGGUAGCCGGCCUGAGAGGGUGACCGGCCACAUUGGGACUGAGGUACGGCCCAGACUCCUACGGGAGGCAGCAGGGGGGAACAUUGCACAAUGGGGGGAAGCCUGAUGCAGCAACCCCGCGUGCGGGAUGACGGCCUUCGGGUUGUAAACCGCUUUCGCCUGUGACGAAGAGUGAGUGACGGUAAUUGGUAAAGAAGCACCGGCUAACUACGUG
rnacentral:rRNA from 1 species